UUAAGCAUCUGACCUCUGCUCUCCGCUCAGGUCUUGAUCUCAGGGUCAUCAGUUCAAGUCCUGGGUGCAGCCCCUUGCUGGGUGUGAAUCCUACUUAAAGUGAAUAAAUGAAAUUAAUCUCACCACCGAGAGGACCUUGGAUGUGACCUUGGAAAGCUCCUUAAUCUUUCUGUGCCUCCGACCUAAUACAAGGGCAAUGAUAGAACACACCCGGUAGUUUUCUUGUGAUGAUUACAUGAGAUAAUGUGUACAAAGCCACUUAGACAGUGACAGACACCCAUAAGCACUACCGUUAGUCUUGUACACUAUCGUUUAUUUGUAUAAUAACACCAACAGGCUCUCUGCUCUCUGAGGAGUUUUCCUGAUUUUCACUUUGUUCAUUUCCUCCCCUUCCCCAAUUUUUACUUUGUUGUUUUGUUUGUUUCAGUUUUUAAUCCAUCUCUGGCUGGCUCCUACUUCUUGGAGAGAAAGCCUCUCUCCUUCAGAAGCCACACAGCGUCCCUCCCUCAUCCAUUCAUUCAGAUCAUUAAUGAAGAUGUUAAAUGAGACCAGAAUGAAACCGCGUCCCCGUGGCAUCCCGCUAGACACCUUCCAACAACUUGACGCUCUGCCAUUUGCUGUUUCAUUACCCUUUGUUUACCUUGCAAACACAGGCCCUCGCUUUUGAAAGAGGCAGAAAGCUUGAUAUUUCUAUUGCUGCAAAGAUGCCACUGAAGGGUGGGGACGUGAAAACCUGGCGUAUUGUAAAUACGUCCUUUUGAGUUUGAAAUAAACGUGGAUUACAAAUUGA